rnacentral:rRNA from 1 species
UACAGAGGUGGCAAGCGUUGUUCGGAAUUACUGGGCGUAAAGGGCGCGUAGGCGGUUCGUUAAGUCCUGUGUGAAAUCCCCCGGCUCAACUGGGGAACUGCACAGGAAACUAGCGGGCUUGAGUUCGGGAGAGGGAAGCGGAAUUCCGGGUGUAGCGGUGAAAUGCGUAGAUAUCCGGAGGAACACCGGUGGCGAAGGCGGCUUCCUGGACCGACACUGACGCUGAGGUGCGAAAGCCAGGGGAGCGAACGGG